UACUAAUUACUAUCAUACGCAAAGGGGUAAAAGGGUGUUAGCCUGCGCACUCGACGUCCCGAAACGAAAGGAAUCUCUCAUUAGCCAGCUCAAACCCCUCCAUUCAUUCCCGUCCUUUUCUCUGUAUCCGUUUAGGCUUCUCUGUCUUCUCUUUUCCCUUUUUCUUUCCUCUAUCUGAAAACUACCAAACCCUAGAAAAGGAGGAGGAGAAGAAGAAACCCUAACCCUAACUUUUUCACUAUACUGUGAUGAUUUCAUGGGAGAUGGAGAUGGAGGAGAUCGAGACGGUGCUGGAGAAGAUCUGGGACAUACACGAUAAGCUCAGUGAUGCUAUCCACGCCAUCUCCAGAUCUCAUUUCCUCAGUUCUAUCAAAUCCCUCCAAAAAUAUGACCGUUCGUCCGCUGGCUUCGUCUACGCGAAGGAUUUUCGUGCGUCGGAUGAUGACGCUGCAAUCGCCGAGGCGAGGAGCCUCAACGCUAUUCGGACGGCACUCGAGAACCUCGAGGAUCAGCUCGAGUUCUUCCAUACUGUUCAGUCGCAACAACGAGCAGAAAGAGAUGCUGCAAUAGCACGGUUAGAGCAAAGUCGCAUUGUUCUUGCAAUGAGAUUGGCUGACCACCACGGUAAGAAAUACAAAGUCAUUGAAGAAGCCCUGGCAUUUGUGGGGGAUGUGCACGAGGCCGGCCGUUUUGUUUCACCAGAAAAUCUGUUUGAAAUGCCACGAAGUCAGUCUGCUGAGAACUUGGAAGAUGGUGAAAGAAAAGGGUCAAAUGUUUUGAUGCAAAUGUUUAUGUCUUGCUUUACCUUUGCUAAGAAAUCGCUUAAAUUGGAGCAUAUGGGUGGUGUAUUAGGACAUACUGCUUUGGUUGCUGUUAGCAUGCUUGCUUUACUGCAGCUGCAUCAAGUAACCUUCAAGAGCGAUUUUGUUCUUGAAGUUCCACAAGCAGAAGAUGAUUCUUUUUACAGGAAGAGAAACGAGAAUGUUUCUCAGUUGGAGGGUUCUUCUUCAAGUGGCUGUGCCAAGCAUUUGGAUGUGUUGUUGGCUAGGGGCUAAGAUGCAAGUCCAUUUUGGAGGGAGUUACGAUUACAGCCCUCUGGUAUGUAUUGGACUGCCAGACUGAUUGGCCAUGAACAUUGUAAGGUGGGCCCAAAACUUCCCAACCUAAGUACUUGGCAUGGGCACGUGGUGGUCGUAGGCAACCUCUAUAUGGCCCAUUAAUGGGAAUUGAGGACACUGAAAUGGUAUCUCAUCCGCCAUGCUGAUACCACGAAAGGUCUAAGGCUGUGAGUUUAUGGUAAGAAUAGAGGGCUACAUCAAGUUGAUAAAUGGUCCACAUUCAAUGCACACGUGUGCCUCACCUGGUGAGCUGACUUGCAUAUGUUCGUGAUGGGCACCUACCUGCCAAAUGGCCUGGGUCUCAACACAUACCAUGUGCACACGGGUGCCAAGCUCAAUCCUCAUGGUACCUGAUCAUCUUCCAACUUGGUAACUUAUCCCCAUUGCAUUGUGUCCAGUGUUUAAAGUUUCUGUUGUAAAUUUGCAUUUCUCAUUAUAUGUACGCGUCAUGAUAUAUCUAGUCUAUAGACAUUGAUGGAUAGUCUGCUAGUUCAAAUCAAUUGGCAUGAAUCUCUGAUUGCCAAUUGUGUU